rnacentral:rRNA from 1 species
GAUGGACCCGCGUCGCAUUAGCUAGUUGGUGAGGUAACGGCUCACCAAGGCAACGAUGCGUAGCCGACCUGAGAGGGUGAUCGGCCACACUGGGACUGAGACACGGCCAGACUCCUACGGGAGGCAGCAGUAGGGAAUCUUCCGCAAUGGACGAAGUCUGACGGAGCAACGCCGCGUGAGUGAUGAAGGCUUUCGGGUCGUAAAACUCUGUUGUUAGGAAGAACAAGUGCUAGUUGAAUAGCUGGCACCUUGACGGUACCUAACCAGAAAGCCACGGCUAACUACGUGCCAGCAGCCGCGGUAAUACGUAGGUGGCAAGCGUUAUCCGGAAUUAUUGGGCGUAAAGCGCGCGCAGGUGGUUCUUAAGUCUGAUGUGAAGCCCACGGCUCAACCGUGGAGGGUCAUUGGAAACUGGGAGACUUGAGUGCAGAAGAGGAAAGUGGAAUUCCAUGUGUAGCGGUGAAAUGCGUAGAGAUAUGGAGGAACACCAGUGGCGAAGGCGACUUCUGGUCUGUAACUGACACUGAGGCGCGAAAGCGUGGGGAGCAAACAGGAUUAGAUACCCUGGUAGUCCACGCCGUAAACGAUGAGUGCUAAGUGUUAGAGGGUUCCGCCUUAGUGCUGAAGUUAACGCAUUAAGCACUCCGCCUGGGGAGUACGGCCGCAAGGCUGAAACUCAAAGGAAUUGACGGGCCCGCACAAGCGGUGGAGCAUGUGGUUAAUUCGAAGCAACGCGAAGAACCUUACCAGGUCUUGACAUCCUCUGAAAACCUAGAGAUAGGGCUUCUCCUUCGGGAGCAGAGUGACAGGUGGUGCAUGGUUGUCGUCAGCUCGUGUCGUGAGAUGUUGGGUUAAGUCCCGCAACGAGCGCAACCCUUGAUCUUAGUUGCCAUCAUUAAGUUGGGCACUCUAAGGUGACUGCCGGUGACAAACCGGAGGAAGGUGGGGAUGACGUCAAAUCAUCAUGCUUAUGACCUG